GAUGAACGCUGGCGGCGUGCCUAAUACAUGCAAGUCGAGCGAACAGACGAGGAGCUUGCUCCUCUGACGUUAGCGGCGGACGGGUGAGUAACACGUGGAUAACCUACCUAUAAGACUGGGAUAACUUCGGGAAACCGGAGCUAAUACCGGAUAAUAUAUUGAACCGCAUGGUUCAAUAGUGAAAGACGGUUUUGCUGUCACUUAUAGAUGGAUCCGCGCCGCAUUAGCUAGUUGGUAAGGUAACGGCUUACCAAGGCAACGAUGCGUAGCCGACCUGAGAGGGUGGUCGGCCACACUGGAACUGAGACACGGUCCAGACUCCUACGGGAGGCAGCAGUAGGGAAUCUUCCGCAAUGGGCGAAAGCCUGACGGAGCAACGCCGCGUGAGUGAUGAAGGUCUUCGGAUCGUAAAACUCUGUUAUUAGGGAAGAACAAAUGUGUAAGUAACUAUGCACGUCUUGCCGGUACCUAAUCAGAAAGCCACGGCUAACUACGUGC
rnacentral:rRNA from 1 species